UACGUAGGGGGCAAGCGUUGUCCGGAAUCAUUGGGCGUAAAGAGCGCGUAGGCGGUCCGGUAAGUCAGCUGUGAAAGUCAAGGUCUCAACCCUUGAAAGCCGGUUGAUACUGUCGGGCUAGAGUCCGGAAGAGGCGAGUGGAAUUCCCGGUGUAGCGGUGAAAUGCGCAGAUAUCGGGAGGAACACCAAUGGCGAAGGCAGCUCGCUGGGACGGUACUGACGCUGAGGCGCGAAAGCGUGGGGAGCAAACAGG
rnacentral:rRNA from 1 species